GGAGGAAUCUUCCACAAUGGGCGAAAGCCUGAUGGAGCGACACCGCGUGAAGGAUGAAGCCUUUGUUGGUGUAAACUUCUUUUCUCUGGGAAGAUAAUGACGGUACCAGAGGAAUAAGGGGCGGCAAACUUCGUGCCAGCAGCCGCGGUAAUACGAAGGCCCCAAGCGUUAUCCGGAAUUACUGGGCGUAAAGCGUCUGUAGGUGGUUUCUUAAGUCUUUCCGUGAAAAUCCAGGGCUCAACCCUGGACU
rnacentral:rRNA from 1 species